GUCUGGAUAGUUCAGUUGGUUAGAGCAUGGGGUUGAUAACACCAAGGUUGCAGGUUCGAUCACUGUAUGCGACU
rnacentral:tRNA from 1 species